rnacentral:lncRNA from 1 species
UACAUCCGACCAUCCGAUUCGCGACGUAAGACGUAGGUGUGGGAAAAGGCGAGAUACAUGAGAGAUCUAAAAGCAUCGAAACCAGAACGAUCCAAGCAAACUAGUAAAACAAGCAAUCCGAUCCGAUUCCGUUUCCUGAAUACGUUGGCUAUUCAGUUUGUAAGUUUCCGCUGCCCUCUAAAUUCAACUGACACAAAUGAUCACAAAUAAAUUCAAAUCAUAUCCACAACAACUAAUGGUAUUCAAUAAUUU